ACCACUUAUUACUUCUCACUUCCUAUGCAGCUCCUGAGUUUCCUGCACUGGCGGCAAGUUUUGAUAGUCACUGAACUACCGCAGUGGGAAGGGGAAGGCAAAACCACUGGCUGUCUGCAAGUCUGGGAGAGCAAGGGGUUGACUGGAAGGAAAAGGAUGGGCGAGUAACACUGGGCAGCAUUCGCAGCGGUUAGCAGAGAGGGACGAGUGGCUCGGCACAAGGCUUCUGUCAGAGUAAGUGAAGCAGAGACAAUCCUUUGGAGAGCAACAACUCGCUUGCUCCUGGCGGCUUAAAGUUUUAAGGACCCAGCUCGUUCCUUGUGAGCCUGCCCUGGAUUGAAGGAAAAAGAAAGCACAGGCAGUUAGGGACCUGGGACGCGUCUGGGAUAGUACCAAGGAUGCUGUGUUUCCUGACAGCAUGAAGGGACAAAGGUCUGGGAAAUGUCUAGCCCUUUGCAUGCUGGCUUGGAGUUGCCUCCACUUUGCCUGGAGUGAUGCCAUCAGUUCCGGGGCCACCUUCACUGGAGCUGGAAGUAUCGGAAGGGGCUUCCCGAGCGACGUCACCAAUAGAACCGCUGUCCAUGGCAACCUUUCAGGGGAGAUUCCUCUGUGCUACUCUGACUUCUCCCUCCACCCCAUGAUGACCAACCCAUUGGUCAAAGAGGUCUGAACGGAGCAUCCUCAAGAGCUUGUUAACGCUGCUAUGAACAUCCAGUCACCCAAGAGCACCAGAAGGCGCUCUGAACGUCAAGGGGAGGAGCACGCUGCCUCCCCUACACUUCCCGCCUAUGUCAUACUGAUGAACUCAUCUAUUCUUCUCCUGAUCUUAACCUUUGUCAUCAAGGGCUGAGGCCAGACACUAUGAACAUGAGUUCAGUGUGUGACGCUCCUCCCUCCACCUUACGGAUCCUAUGACAUCGAGAAGGGCACUGGCCUCUCCCUGGGCUCAGUCAUUGUGUACUGGUGCAGAGAGGGGUAUCAACUGGUGGGCAGCGAGAAGCUGGCCUGCCUCCUCCGAGACAGCACCUCUUACUGGAGUCACCCAGCACCUCACUGCGAGGCCAUCCCAAAGCCCCUUGACAAAGGGUUCCGGGUAGCAGUCAUAGCCUCUCUCAUCAGCGGCGUGAUCAUUCUGACCAUGUCUGUCUCCUUCGCUGCGUGCUGCUUGCGAGACAGGCUACUGAGAAACAGCGCACAGCAGCUGAACACCAGGGAGGAGCAACAGCAGGGCAGGACGUGCCGGGGUGCAAGGCAAGCUGAUUCCACUAACAAGGAAAUGGAGAAGCAACAAGGAGCUUUUGGGAAACUGAAGCACCAUCACAGGCUUGAUUACCGCAUCUCCGCCCUCCGUAGUUCUGUAUACCCUGGGGCACUUGCAGGGUGCAGUAACCAGGGAUUCCAAAGGAGUCAGGAGAAUUCACACCAGCCGUCCAUGCAAAGCUUAUGCUCUGAAAUCCACGUCUUCCCACAAGUGGUUCUGCGGCCGGGUGCAACACCAUCUGCCUCUUCUAUGUACAUUCAUUUCCCCCAGAAGCCAGGAGAUAUCUCCCUGGCUAUAAUGCCUUAUCAUGCCAACUCCCCCAGAGACAUACCCACAGCCUACUACAGAGGAUAUGAAGAACAUAAGCCCUUAAGCCUGUAUUGAUAAUGAUCAGCUUACAAUUUUAAGCCAUUACCCAAUUCCUUAUUAACACCAAUUCCUUGGAAGUCUCCCAAGCUCAGCAAGGAGAGGCAUAUGAUAGAAUCAGUGUGACUGGAUUUUCAAGCGGUUAUUGCAAACAGGUGGAAAAGAGUGACAUUUCAUGUUGAAAGUA